rnacentral:rRNA from 1 species
AUGCGGCAGCUUCGACUCAUCACCAACAUGAGGGCUCAUAAUGACACGUGGUUUGCCGAUUAUUUGCUAAGGGUCGGCAAUGUCACUGAGGAUGUCGACCUUCAAGGCAACAUAGUACUCCCUAGAGAUAUUUGUCUGCCGUCUACAGGCGAGGUUGAGGACCUAGAGAAGCUUAUUGAACACGUAUUUCCGAGUCUAGACGACAACAUGGCUGAUUCAUUUUACAUGACAUGUCGAGCAAUGCUUUCCACAACAAAUGAUAAUGUAGACAAGAUAAACAUCCGCAUGAUAGAG